CUUUCUGUUGCACUUAAGUCCAGAUUCUCUCUGGCCAUUCCUGCUCACGAGCGGAGAGCGACACAGCACCACGGUGCCUAAAGACCACAGGUGGGUCCUGUGCUUCAAGCCAAUUUACUCACAUUUGCGAUGACAAGAGAAGACCCUACUUGCCUUAAAGCCUGAUUGGUUUCUUCCAGCCUUAGUAGCUGAUGUAAAGAAAGAAAAUGCUUCUUCUUACAAUCCUGGACAGAACUCUUCAAGUCAUCUUGGAGACUGGAAAGACUGUGGAUUUUUCUGGGAAGAAUGUUUCUUCAGCUCUUAUUUCUGCACUCCAAACAGAUGUAAUAAAUUCUGCACAAACACAGAUAAGCAUAA